rnacentral:ncRNA from 1 species
AUCAAGGAAAGACCUGCCUAUAGCUUUGUAUACUAUUAACUGAUCUGAUUAAAUAUAGGAAUGAUCUGACUUUGGUAUAGGGACGAAAGACUAAUCGAACUAUCUGGUAGUUGGUUCCCUCUGAAGUUUCCCUCAGGAUAGCUGAAGUACGUAAUGAAGCUGUUAUAUUCGGUAAAGCGAAUGAUCAGAGGAAUUGUGGUACGAAACGUCUUCAACCUAUUCUCAAACUUUCGAUGAGUCUGACGUCUUGCUUGCUUGAAUGAAGCGUAGAC